GAAAUUUACAAUUUAAAACACAUAAAAGGAAAGUUUGAUUGAUGAAAAAGCAAAACGAUUAGAUUUCAAAGAAAGAACUAUCAAAGAUUAAACAAUAGAUACAGAAAAUAGAAAAUGCGUUUGCAUUUAAAGUAUGAUUCAAAUAUUUUAAAGUGCAGCAGGUUUCUUUUUCAAAAAUUUAAAUUAGAGAUGAUUUUAUUUGAAAUCUGAAGUAAUGUUUUAGAAGAUUUGGGCUAUGCUUUUCCAUACAAGUUCAUCAAACGUUCAUAAAAAACUCCAGCAAAACUGUAUUUCACUCAAACACAUUUUCAUUAGAUCUAAUUGGUUAGGUUUAUGAGAUUGCGUCAAAAGUUGGAGGGCUACCUGCCGAAGGGGAGAGGAUGUCUUUGUGGAAAACAUUCUAAAGGAAACUGGCACCUAUAUACGUUACACACGGGGAAAAGCACGAAAACUCCCAUGCAGCCACCUCGUUUUCGAGAUUCGAACCUCGGACCGAACUACUAGUGUUCAGCGACUUUACAGCUCAGCCGCUGGUAGGCCCCAGGAGAUACUGGAUGGUGAAAAGAAGAGAAGAGGCUCUUUGCCUUUAUAGCAGCUAGACUCGUUAUGCUUCUUUUGGUAUCCAGUACUGGAAGGUAGGCGACGGAGGAGAUAAGUCUUCCGAACUGUGAGAAUAGCGUCAGUUUCCAAGUGACGGUAUCCAGUCAAGGCAACACACGAGAAAGGAAAAUAUGCAGCAUUUAAAAAUUUAUAUCAUGAAUGUUAUAAUACACUGAAUACAAUUGUUGUUUAUUCAUGAAAUUUUUAAACACUUGUUCAUGAAUAUUUUAUUAAAGUUUUAUUUUCAAAUAA